rnacentral:tRNA from 1 species
GCCAGCAUGGCAUAGUGGUUUGAGUGCUGGACUAUGACUCUGAAGACCAGGGUUUGAUUCCCAGCUUGGCC